rnacentral:rRNA from 1 species
UACAGAGGUCUCAACCGUUGUUCGGAUUCAUUGGGCGUAAAGGGUGCGUAGGCGGUCGUGCAAGUCGGAUGUGAAAUCUCAGGGCUCAACCCUGAAACUGCAUUCGAUACUGCGUGGCUAGAGUGCUGGAGAGGAGACUGGAAUUUACGGUGUAGCAGUGAAAUGCGUAGAUAUCGUAAGGAAGACCAGUGGCGAAGGCGGCAUCCUGGACCGACACUGACGCUGAGGAGCGAAAGCCAGGGGAGCAAACGGG